UCCUCCAACCUCAAAGCAAAAUAAUACAUAGUACUAAAUUAGUACUUCGGAGAGGCUUAGAUAACAAUGGAGAACAACAACUAGGCUUGGUAACAGUACGUACUACAAUUGUUGGGAGAAGAAGAAGUAGCAGUACUACAAUUGUGUACUAAAUUAAAAGGAAAAUAUAAUUUAAAUAUGUAACCCCAAGAAACUUUGUAUAAAAACCUCAGGGCUAUUGUGUCUGGGAGAUCACAGAAAAGCAAGAAUGAAUUGAGCAUUUUAUAUAUUUAGAGGGCAAAAGUGAAGAAGAUGGCAGUUUGUUGGUGACUUUGUAUCCAAAACUGUGGGUCAUGGUUUCAUCUCAGCUUCAGAAGAUCUCAAUUAAGAUACUGUACAAUAAGACACGACCAGCCAUUUCACAAACAACUCAGGGAACAUUGAGAUUAUUUAUGCUUAGUUUUUGCUUCAUUCUUAAUCAUCAUAUUUUUAUGCUUCUACUUAAGGUACAUGUUUUGUAUUGUGAUCCAGGCCGAAUUGAGGGUUUCUUCUGCUUUAAUUUGCUCAAGUGCUUGAUUAGUUCAGCUGGAGACUAGCUAUUGAAGACGACAAUAUCAAGAAAAUUUCAAUUGUAAAACAAAGAUGUUUAUGUUUUGUUUGUCUUACUUUUUGGAACUCAAACAAUAUUGGACUUGUUAUUGGGUCAUGGUCCUCCCAAGAGUUUAGACUGGUUUGUAGGUUUGGGUUUGUGGACUACCCAUUAUCUACAUGGGUCCAAUGUAUAUCCAGAUACAUAUCUACAUAUCUACCA